CUUGACUUAUUUUCAUUUAACAUUUAACAACAGCAGAUAAUGUUGACGUGAAAAGAGCACACUAAACAUAGGAUUGCUGUGAGGAUUAAAUGAAAUAAGUGCCAAAUCCCAGGCAUUUAAUAUAAUUGAUCAUUCUUAUCUUUAUUAUAGACUGUAAGUUCCAUGAAAACAGGCACUGAAUUUUUUUUUCUUUUUUUUGAGAUGGAGUCUCGCUCUGUCACCCAGGCUAGAGUGCAGUGGCAUUAUCUAGGCUCACUGCAACCUCUGCCUCCCAGGUUCAAGCAAUUCUCCUGCCUCAGCCUCUUGAGUAGCUGGGAUUACUAGUGUGCGCCACCAUGCCCGGCUAAUUUUUGUAUUUUUAGUAGAGACUGGGUUUCACCAUGUUGGUCAGGCUGGUCACGAACUCUUGACUUCAAGUGAUUCAUCCGCCUCGGCCUCCCAAAGUGCUGAGAUUACAGGCUUGAGCCACCGCGCCCAGCCGAACAGGUAGUAAAUUUUUACAUGUAUAUGCAGCUUUUAGAGUAGUGUUUAGUACACAGUAGGCUUUCAGUUCACAUUGAUAGGCUAAAUGAGUAAUAUGGAUAUUAUUACUCCAAUUUCUCAGAUGAAAUUAAUACUCAGAGAGAUUGAAUAAGCUGCUCACUUUCUCAAAGCUAGUUGCUGUAAGAGUUAGGAUAAAUGACCUAUUUCUUUUUUUUUUAUCCUAUGUACAGUCAUUCCUAAUAAAUAACGUACUUCUAACUCCACUGUGCCCUAAGGGCUUCUCUAAAGCAUGUAGCGUGACGCUGAGCACACAGUAGUUCUUCAACAGUUGCCACUAUUGCUGUGUGUCACCGGUCAGCGGUGUGUUAUUAGUUCAUUACUGUCUUAUGAUAAACUUCUCCAUUGGCUUGCAGGUACAGAGAGCAACUCUGCUGCUUCUCCUCCGGAGUGCGGCAUCAUCUUCCUGCUCUUCCUUCCAUUUGCUCUGUUGGCUCCUACUCCCCUUCCACUGAAGUAACUGUAGCUUUCCCCAGGGCUUAGGCCCAGGCCCUACUGAACCUCUAUUUCUGUGUGUUUGUCUGCACGUCUGCAAUCACUUCAACUCAAACUGCACCCACCAACGACAUGACCCUUAGAAGCUGCCAAAUCCUCGUUGCUGAAUGGUUUCAGUACUGCUACUGCUGGAGAAAAAGAAGAAAAAUUCACAUCCUUCCCCCCAAAAAAGAAAGGGGGAAACAUGGAACCAGGGAAAUUCUAUCUAAGCAUUCCAUCCUUCCUGGCACCUGGGUCUUCCUGGCACUAUGAAUUGAUAAAUUAUUACUCCUAUCUUAGAAACAAAAGGAAAUGAUGGAUCAGCGAGGCUAAGUAAUUUGCCGAAAGUUACACGGCAAGUUGGUGGUACUGAAACCAACAUUGUAUGGCUCUGGCAUCUUUCCUUCACAUCUAGGAAAGGGAAGGCCAGGGGGCCUGUUUUUCCUGAAGAAAGAAGACAGGACCAUCACACUGAGGAAGCCAAGAAAAGCAGUGCAGGAAAAGCCGGGCAAGUGCAGUGUUCCCAGAGACGUAACCAGAGAAAGAUCUGUGAAGUUUCCUCACAGGGACUUUCUCUGGGUGGAUUCUAGAUUCUGGGAAGCCGUGGGCCUCCCAAGAAGUUUUUGGCAGCACCUGGUCCAGCCAAACUACAUAUUCAAUACCCAGAAGAGAGAGAGAGGAGAAAAUCAAGAAUGGACAGUUUGUUGCCUGGUGGCCAGGGAAGGUCCCCAUAUUGAAAUAAUUCAAAGUAGACUUAACAGUGCAAAGGCUUCUUUUUCAUGUCAACAGUGCUGAGGUUAGCCAGAAAUUAAAGCAGAGGAGGUUAGGAAGAGACAGGAGGUAGAGAGAGGAAGGAAGUGCUUUUCUCCCCACCACCGUCUUCUCUCUAGAAACAUGUUUGAAUAAAUUGGAGACAUUCUCCAGUCAUUGCUGCCUAAUGGAGUUUUCCAUUGACAGAAGGCUCAGGUGUGGGCUGGUUACACAGAGGAUCUGAAAUAACACUCAGGGGCCCUGUGCUUUUUGGUCCUACCUCCUUGGAGUCCUGAAGACUGAGGUGAGGCACAGGAAGAAUUGGAAAAGACGCAUGUCUAUCCAUACCACUCACUUCCUAGGAAAGAGUCAGCUCUGAGUGUACACAGGAUGGGUCUUACAUGGCUCCAAUCCAUGGCAGGGUGGUCUACUUGGCCCUCUUAUUACCUGUCAGUAUCUGGGAAAGCAGGCAAUAGAAUUAGCAUCUAUUCUGUAAGCUCCAGCAUGGAGAAGACUUAAACUGAUCUCUAGUUAUCUUCAAUAGAUAGGAUACCGUAAUAAGAUUUCUGAAAUCAGAGAAAGAGAGAAACAGAGAAGCCAGACUUUCCAUUAGAUACUUCAGAAACAAGAGGAACACACACAAAAAAUAAGGAUGGACUCUGAUAUUCAGUGCCCAGUGAUGGCCUCUUCACUGAGGAUUAGUAGCCCACUCGGCUGGGUGUGGUGGCUCACACUUGUAAUCUUAGCACUUGGGGAGGCCGAGGAGUUCGAGACCAGCCUGGGCAACACAGUGAGACCUUGUUGCUAUUUUUUAAAAAAAGAAAGAAACAGAAAAGGAUUAACAGCUCACUUAACUCAUGUACUAUUUGAUACAUUAUUUUCCAAUAUUAUCAAAUACGGGGAUCUUGUUCUUAUCUCUACUAAUCUUUAUAUCUUCAAAGCCCUACCAAUCAAUUCCUUUAAUACCUAGCUCAGAGGUGACAUUCCUGGUGAAUCCUGCCCUGCAUACUUAAUUAAUCCUUCAUUUGAGUUCUAGGUGCCUUUUAAUAACCAAAUUUUCUUAUAUGUCAUGUAAAGAUAUUCUUAAAUUAUUAAGUCAAUAAAUUUAAAUUUACUUAGAAAACACAACUUUGACAAAAAAAGAAAAAUGCAUCAGCUGUAAUGCUACUACCCAGAGAUAAACAGUUACCAUGGUCAUGUACAUUUUCCCAGCCCUUCUGGUGUCAACUAAAGAAAAAAAAAUCAAGCUUGUAAAGAAUGAAAGGUGGUUGUAUUUAGAAGUCUUACUGAGGACUAUAGACUGAGGCCUAGA
rnacentral:lncRNA from 1 species